rnacentral:rRNA from 1 species
CCUACGGGAGGCAGCAGUAGGGAAUCUUCCACAAUGGGCGAAAGCCUGAUGGAGCAACGCCGCGUGGGUGAAGAAGGUCUUCGGAUCGUAAAACUCUGUUGUUAGAGAAGAAAAUGCAUGAUAGUAACUGUUCACGUUCCGACGGUAUCUAACCAGAAAGCCACGGCUAACUACGUGCCACCCGCCGAGGUAGUACGUAGGUGGCAAGCGUUGUCCGGAUUUGUUGGGCGUAAAGGGAGCGCAGGCGGUCUUGUAAGUCUGAUGUGAAAGCCUCGGGCUUAACCGGAGUAGGGCAUUUGAAACUGGGAGACUUGAGUGCAGAAGAGGAGAGCGGAAUGCGAUGUGUAGCGGUGAAAUGCGUAGAUAUAUGGAAGAACACCAGUGGCGAAGGCAGCUCUCUGGUCUGUAACUGACGCUGAGGUUCGAAAGCGUGGGUAGCAAACAGGAUUAGAUACCCUUGUAGUC